AUUGAACGCUGGCGGCAGGCCUAACACAUGCAAGUCGAGCGGAUGAAGGGAGCUUGCUCCUGGAUUCAGCGGCGGACGGGUGAGUAAUGCCUAGGAAUCUGCCUGGUAGUGGGGGAUAACGUCCGGAAACGGGCGCUAAUACCGCAUACGUCCUGAGGGAGAAAGUGGGGGAUCUUCGGACCUCACGCUAUCAGAUGAGCCUAGGUCGGAUUAGCUAGUUGGUGGGGUAAAGGCCUACCAAGGCGACGAUCCGUAACUGGUCUGAGAGGAUGAUCAGUCACACGGGAACUGAGACACGGUCCAGACUCCUACGGGAGGCAGCAGUGGGGAAUAUUGGACAAUGGGCGAAAGCCUGAUCCAGCCAUGCCGCGUGUGUGAAGAAGGUCUUCGGAUUGUAGAGCACUUUAAGUUGGGAGGAAGGGCAGUAAGUUAAUACCUUGCUGUUUUGACGUUACCAACAGAAUAAGCACCGGCUAACUUCGUG
rnacentral:rRNA from 1 species